rnacentral:rRNA from 1 species
UACGGGGGGAGCAAGCGUUGUUCGGAUUUACUGGGCGUAAAGGGCGCGUAGGCGGCCACCGCAAGUCGACUGUGAAAUCUCCGGGCUUAACCCGGAAAGGUCAGCCGAUACUGCGGGGCUAGAGUGCAGAAGGGGCAACUGGAAUUCUCGGUGUAGCGGUGAAAUGCGUAGAUAUCGAGAGGAACCCCUGCGGCGAAGGCGGGUUGCUGGGCUGACACUGACGCUGAGGCGCGAAAGCUAGGGGAGCGAACGGG